rnacentral:ncRNA from 2 species
UACAUUUGCAGCGAUGACGGUUCCGCCAGACGGCGGAUUAAAAGGGAAGUCCGGUGAAAAUCCGGCGCUAUCCCCGUAGCUGUAAGCCUUAUGGGACCACGAGUCCCGGUAACCGGUUUCUUACGCCACUGUCCGCCAAAGGCGGACGGGAAGGCAACCAGGUUAAAGGCGAGCCAGAAGACCUGCCUCCAUCAUUUCAUUGCU